rnacentral:rRNA from 1 species
GGGGAAUUGUUCACAAUGGGCGCAAGCCUGAUGACGCGACGCCGCGUGGGGGAUGAAGGUCUUCGGAUUGUAAACCCCUGUCGAGCGGGACGAACGGCUCACGAGCUAAUCAUCGUGAGAGUGACGGUACCGCUAAAGGAAGCCACGGCUAACUCUGUGCCAGCAGCCGCGGUAAUACAGAGGUGGCAAGCGUUGUUCGGAAUUACUGGGCGUAAAGGGCGUGUAGGCGGCUUUUUAAGUCAGACGUGAAAUCCCCCGGCUUAACCUGGGAACUGCGUCUGAUACUGGGAAGCUAGAGUUCGGGAGAGGGAUGUAGAAUUCCAGGUGUAGCGGUGAAAUACGUAGAUAUCUGGAGGAACACCGGUGGCGAAGGCGGCAUCCUGGACCGGUAUUGACGCUGAUGCGCGAAAGCCAGGGGAGCAAAC